rnacentral:misc_RNA from 1 species
GGUAGUCGAAAAAAAUCCAUAGGGCUAUAUAAUAUAUCAAAUUUGAUAUGAGGCUUGAAAUUAAAAUAUUUGUUGAUAUGUUACAAUAAAAGUUGAAAAAAAAAUUAUCAAACAAGAAUCCAUCUUUAGAAGGUAUUACAUUUUUUUUUAAUUAAAAAAGUGGAUAUGAAUGUAGAUAAUUUGUUUUUAGCUUUUAACUGUAUAAAAAUACAAUGGUUGUUAUCUGUGUGUUUGAUCAUGAGAUGUGUGUGUUUUGUCAAAAAAGUGAGUUGUUUUGGGAUGAGCAAAGUAAGACCGUAUGAGAGAAAGAGAGAGUGUGUUUGAGAGUAAAUUGCUUAUGAGAAGAAGAGUGAAUCUCUUUAAAAAUCUUAUAUUUUUAACUGCAGUCAGACAGUGUCUCAAAUAAACAAACUACAGCACU